rnacentral:rRNA from 1 species
GCAACCUACCUUCCCCUGGGGGAUAGCCCUCCGAAAGGAGGAUUAAUACCGCAUAAGACCAUUUGAGGGCAUCCGAAGAUGGUGAAAGCUGAGGCGGUGGAAGAUGGGCAUGCGUGCCAUUAGCUUGUUGGUGUGGUAACGGCGCACCAAGGCAACGAUGGCUAGGGGUUCUGAGAGGAUGGUCC